GAAAGCAUUUGCCAAGCAUGUUUUCAUUAGUCAAGAACGAAAGUCAGAGGCUNGAAGGCGAUCAGAUACCGCCCUAGUUUUANCCUUAAANGAUGCCGACCAGNGUNGGGGAAGAGAGCNUAGCCUCCUUCCCCGCAGCCCCCCCGGGAAACCACGAGUGUGCGGGUUCCGGGGGAAGUAUGGCCGCAAAGCUGAAACUUAAAGGAAUUGACGGAAGGGCACCACCAGGAGUGGAGCCUGCGGCUUAAUUUGACUCAACACGGGGAAACUCACCCGGCCCGGACACUGGCAUGAUGGACAGAUUGAGAGCUCUUUCUCGAUUCGGUGGGUGGUGGUGCAUGGCCGUUCUUAGUUGGUGGAGCGAUCUGUCUGCUUAAUUGCGAUAACGAACGAGACUCUGGCUGGGAUCUUGGGGCCAGAGGGGAGGGCCGAGGGCCGGCUGCAAGGCCGGCGACUGGCAUCCCCCAAAUGGSACUAGAAAUUCCCGGAAGGGCGGCAACGAAGCCGCAGGAAUCGGAGCAAUAACAGGUCUGUGAUGCCCUUAGAUGUCCGGGGCCGCACGCGCGCUACACUGGAACGGACAGCGGGUAAAUUGAUCGAAUCAUAACCCGCUCCGAGACGGGAGACCGGCAACCCUCUCAACCCGUUCCACGGUCGGGACCGGGGCCUGGAACUUACCCCGCGAACCUGGAAUCCCUAGUAGGCGCGAGUCACCAGCUCGCGCCGACUGCGUCCCUGCCCUUUGUACACACCGCCCGUCGCUACUACCGAUUGGGCGGCUUGGUGAGGNCCUCGGAGGGAGGCGAGGAUUAAUUCUCGCCGCCCAAAGUCGUCCGAACUCGGCCGCCGA
rnacentral:rRNA from 1 species